rnacentral:rRNA from 1 species
UUUGCUUGCAAACCAAAGCUGGCGACCGGCGCACGGGUGAGUAACACGUAUCCAACCUGCCUCAUACUCGGGGAUAGCCUUUCGAAAGAAAGAUUAAUAUCCGAUAGCAUAUAUUUCCCGCAUGGGUUUUAUAUUAAAGAAAUUCGGUAUGAGAUGGGGAUGCGUUCCAUUAGUUUGUUGGCGGGGUAACGGCCCACCAAGACUACGAUGGAUAGGGGCUCUGAGAGGAAGGUCCCCCACAUUGGAACUGAGACACGGUCCAAACUCCUACGGGAGGCAGCAGUGAGGAAUAUUGGUCAAUGGACGCGAGCCUGAACCAGCCAAGUAGCGUGAAGGAUGACUGCCCUAUGGGUUGUAAACUUCUUUUAUAUGGGAAUAAAGUGGUCCACGUGUGGAUUUUUGUAUGUACCAUAUGAAUAAGGAUCGGCUAACUCCGUGCCAGCAGCCGCGGUAAUACGGAGGAUCCGAGCGUUAUCCGGAUUUAUUGGGUUUAAAGGGAGCGUAGGCGGAUUGUUAAGUCAGUUGUGAAAGUUUGCGGCUUAACCGUAAAAUUGCAGUUGAUACUGG